rnacentral:rRNA from 1 species
AGAGUUUGAUCCUGGCUCAGGACGAACGCUGGCGGCGUGCCUAAUACAUGCAAGUCGAGCGGGGAUUAUGCUUGAUCGCUUCGGUGAGACGGCAUAUAUCCUAGCGGCGGACGGGUGAGUAACGCGUGGGUAACCUACCCCAAAGUCCGGGAUAACAGCGGGAAACCGCUGCUAAUACCGGAUGCCUUUACCUUGGGGCAUCUUGAGGUAAAGAAAGGUAACGCUUUGGGAUGGGCCCGCGUCCCAUUAGCUAGUUGGUGAGGUAACGGCUCACCAAGGCGACGAUGGGUAGCCGGCCUGAGAGGGUGGACGGCCACACUGGGACUGAGACACGGCCCAGACUCCUACGGGAGGCAGCAGUAGGGAAUAUUGCGCAAUGGACGGAAGUCUGACGCAGCGACGCCGCGUGAGCGAUGAAGGUCUUCGGAUCGUAAAGCUCUGUCCUUGGGGAAGAAGGCGAAAGCUUGACGGUACCCAAGAAGAAAGCCCCGGCUAACUACGUGCCAGCAGCCGCGGUAAUACGUAGGGGGCGAGCGUUGUCCGGAAUUACUGGGCGUAAAGGGUGCGUAGGCGGCCCUUUAAGUCGGAUGUGAAAGCCCGCGGCUUAACCGCGGAAUGGCAUUCGAAACUGGAGGGCUUGAGUGUCGGAGAGGGUAGUGGAAUUCCCAGUGUAGCGGUGAAAUGCGUAGAUAUUGGGAGGAACACCAGUGGCGAAGGCGACUACCUGGACGAUAACUGACGCUGAGGCACGAAAGCUAGGGGAGCAAACAGGAUUAGAUACCCUGGUAGUCCUAGCCGUAAACGAUGGGUACUAGGUGUGGGUGGUUUCGAUACCAUCCGUGCCGUAGUUAACGCAUUAAGUACCCCGCCUGGGGAGUACGUGCGCAAGCAUGAAACUCAAAGGAAUUGACGG